AACUUCGGGAAACCGGAGCUAAUACCGGAUAAUCCCUUUCCUCUCAUGAGGAAAGGCUGAAAGAUGGUUUCGGCUAUCACUUAUAGAUGGGCCCGCGGCGCAUUAGCUAGUUGGUGAGGUAACGGCUCACCAAGGCAACGAUGCGUAGCCGACCUGAGAGGGUGAUCGGCCACACUGGGACUGAGACGCGGCCCAGACUCCUACGGGAGGCAGCAGUAGGGAAUCUUCCGCAAUGGACGAAAGUCUGACGGAGCAACGCCGCGUGAGUGAUGAAGGUUUUCGGAUCGUAAAACUCUGUUGUUAGGGAAGAACAAGUACGAGAGUAACUGCUCGUACCUUGACGGUACNUAACCAGAAAGCCACGGCUAA
rnacentral:rRNA from 1 species